GAAGGGCAAGCGUCGGCGCGGGGAGGGGUGGCCUGGGCGUGCUCGCUGCGCGACUGCGGCUCAUCGGCCGGCCUGGGGAGGUUUGUCUCCCUCGUGCCUUUGUGCCGGGUUUUCUCUGAACUUUGUUCUCACAGAAUUUCCUGCUGGGAUUUAGCUCCGAAGAAGCCGCAGCCUUGAAUCACGACUGAAAAUCACUGUUUGCAUUUGACGGUUCGAUUCGUCAGGUGUUCCUGCUGACCACAAAGUGGCUGCUUAGUCUACACCCCCUCCUAGGUACCUGAGCUGAGCUUGCUGACUCUGCCCACCAGGUGGCUGGACUGGAAGAUCUUUCUGCAUGAUGGUGAGAAUCCUGUUCCUGCAGUUCAGUUCAGUUAUCCCGUGUUUGGUCCUUUUAGAUAACAAGAUGGUGAGCACUUUGGCUGUUCCAGGGGUUGACUCACCAAGACGGCUUGGCCUGUGCGGGGCAACCAGGAGAGAAAGAGGCACAGCAUAA
rnacentral:lncRNA from 1 species